AAUUUGCAUACGGUUUCGGCCCGUAAGUUAGAGGUGAAAUUCCUUUUUUAUACUCAAGUUUAAACGGAG
rnacentral:tRNA from 1 species